rnacentral:lncRNA from 1 species
CGCGCCUUUCGUUUUUCUGCUGCUUUUCACGUGUUAUUUUCGGUUCCCUUGCAGCCUUGUCCCACUCUCCCUCCCACAGUCUCUGGCCUUGUCCGCCGGUCCUCUGCUGCCCUCGUGUGGCUCUAGGUGGAAAGGCAGCUUCCCCAGCCCCACCCAAGGUGCGGCUGGGGAUGGAGCUGGAGAUGAGCGCGAGGGGAUCCAGGGCAAGAGAACAAGCAGAGGAGUCUGUAAUAGAGGAUGAAUUUUUUCUCCAGCUUUAUUGAGAAUCUCACAAAGUCACCAAGUUGCCCAGGCCGGGCUAGAACUUGUGAGCCUCCUGCCUGAGGCCUUUCCAGAGUGCUUUCCAACGUGCUGGGGUUACAAGUGGGCACCACUGUGCUCAGCCCAGGAAUCAACCAUUUCUUCAAUGAGUGUUGCGGACACAUUUUCAUCACUGAGAUACAAUAUGCAACACCUGCAACAUAAAGGAGGAGACAUUUAUUUUGGCUCACGUUUUCAGUCCAUGGUUGGCUAGCUCCAAGGCAGGAUCAAUAAGAAUGUUUACCCUGUGCUAUUGUAUGUCGACAGUGUUUAACUUUCUUGUAUAUUUAAAAGAAAAGUAAAAAAGUUAAAAGUUUCAAGUCUCAGAGACUUUGGAUUUAGACUUUUUAGCACUGCUGAAACUUAAGAAUUUGGUGACUCUUAGAGAUGGAUUAAACACAGUUUACAUAAAGAGACACGCAUGAGUCUUUUGGGGACCAGGGUAGAAUACCAUAUAUCUAGAUGCUUCCCAAGAGCUGCAUGUGCUCAAAGGGGGACUUUUAAAG